UGCUAGACUGGAUUGCUGAGAUGCAGCCACUAUAGUUCCCAUUUUCACACAAAACAAGCCCUUCCCCCUUUCUUUUCGCUCUCUUUGGCAGCCCCAUCUCAUCCACUAAGCUGCAGUAUGGGAGGGGGGGGGAGGGGGAGAGUGCUUCCUCACACACCCAACCCCUCCCUACCCACACCCUUCUCACUAGUCAUGCCACUCUGAAACCUAUUACCCUGUAGCUAACUCACUGCUCUGUGAAGGGCCCUUCCUCCAUUGUCUGAGACGAACUCACACUUGUAGCACCAGAGGGCUGAAGAACAAAGCGUGUUGCUGUCUCUGAACUCAGCCGUAGCUGGUGGAAAAUUUCAGAGAUUCCAAGGCCAGAAGGGAUUGUUGUGAUCCUCUAGUCUGACCUCCUGUAUAACACAGGCCAGCGAAUGUCCCCAAAAUCAUUCCUAGAGCAGAGCUUUUAGAAAGACAUCCAAGCUUGAUUUAAAACUUGUCAGUGAUGGAGAAUCCACCAUGCCCCUUGGUAAGUUGUCUUUGUAAAGUGCUUUGAGAUCUACAGCUGAAAAGUGCUCUCUAACAGCUAGGUAUUGAGUGUUGCGCUAGCCCUCUGAGCAGUGGAAAUUUCACCUCUACGUCAUUAAAUCCGAAGUAAGCUGAAUGCGCAGCGAGCCAAUCACUCGAACAAAAAGAAAAUCAGCCCGACAGAAGGUCUAGAGCAAAAUACCCUACUUGCCCCUCACAUUAUAUCAGAAUGGCGAGGACUGCACAAACUCUUGUGUAUUCGCAGAUGUUUAAUGUCAGCCUUGACUUUGACACUCCUAAUCACUCAGCCGUUGAUCAAUCUCACGCCAGUCACUUGGCGCUACUUUAGUGGGACGCUAUUGGGUUCCACUGACCCAUCUGUGCACUGAUGUUUGCAAUUCAUCCCUGUGCCAAGGGUCAGCAAGAGUAUGUCUACACGGCCUGUGGCAGCCCGCCUGGGGCGAUAGCCUUGGGCAAGCAGGGCUUGUGCUAGUGCUCUAAAGACAGCUGUGAGACAGUGCUUUGAAAUUGCAGCUCGGGCUGGCGCUGGGCUCUGAAGCCUGGGGGAGGGAGGGGGGCGAGCUACACAGCUAUAUUUUGAGAGUUACUGCAAGCUCCACCAGCCCACGUCUGUCGGCCCAAGUGGGAGACUCAGGCCUGUGGGCUGUGUAGACAUAGAUCAAAAAUGCCGAUUCCCCACUCAAAUCGCCUUUAAACCUGAAAAUAAAGGGUUAACGGGGACUUGAGUGGUGGUGCCU
rnacentral:lncRNA from 1 species